ACGCUGGCAGCGUGCAUUCACCAUGCAACCCCGACGAUGGAGCCCUUCGGGGUGGAUCGUGGCGAACGGGUGAGUAACACGUGGGCAAUCUGCCCUGCACUCUGGGACAAGCCCUGGAAACGGGGUCUAAUACCGGAUAUGACUCGGGAGCGCAUGCUUCCGGGUGGAAAGCUCCGGCGGUGCAGGAUGAGCCCGCGGCCUAUCAGCUUGUUGGUGGGGUGAUGGCCUACCAAGGCGACGACGGGUAGCCGGCCUGAGAGGGCGACCGGCCACACUGGGACUGAGACACGGCCCACACUCCUACGGGAGGCAGCAGUGGGGAAUAUUGCACUAUGGGCGAAAGCCUGAUGCACCGACACCGCGUGAGGGAUGACGGCCUUCGGGUUGUCACCCUCUUUCAGCAUGAAACAAGCAUAUGUGACCGUACCUGGAGAACAAGCAUGGGCUAACUGUAUGCCAACCACCGGGGUAACA
rnacentral:rRNA from 1 species